UAAAAAAAGAAAUGAAUGUUUCUCUUCUUCUUUCGUCGUUCAAACCCCAGACUCGAUUCGAAACUCCUUACUGGCACCAACAAUACUCUCAUCUCAGGAAACCCAAAUUGGAGACGGAGGAAUUCAAAAGGAUGGAUUGUGCCACUCAUGUCAGUUAGGUAAGCACAAAAGGUUACCUUUCUCAACUUUAAAUAGAACUACUUCUGCACCUCUGCAAUUGGUUCAUUGUGAUGCACGGGGACCUACUUCUACUUCGUCUUCGCUGGCUAUAGCCUAUAGGUACUACAUUCUUAUUAUUGAUCAUUUUAGUAGGUAUAAUUGGUUAUAUCUUAUGAAGCUUAAAAACAGAUGCUUUAGAUUGUUCCCAACAUUUUAAAGCAACAACUGAGAAUUUGUUUAGCUGCACAAUUGAGAUGUUUCAGUCAGAUGGUGCUUGUGAACUAGUUUAAGUGAAAUUCAGAGAGUUCAUAGAUGGAUGUGGUAUAGUCAUUUCAUGCUCUUGCUCUGCCCAAAUACUCAACAAUAAAAUGGCCUAGCUUAGAAGAAACAUAGACAUGUGAGUGAAGUAGGUAAAACAAUUUCUUUUCAAGCAUUUUACCUAAAUCCUUCUGGAAAUAAUCAUUCCUCACUGCAGCAUAUCUCAUUAAUAGAACUCCUAAAUUACUUGGUUAUGAAUCACCUUUUGAGAUUUGUUUAAGCAACCAGAUUAUUCCUUUUUAAAGCGUAUGUAUGUGCUUGUUACCCAAACUUUGUUCCUUGCACUAAAGAUAAGUUGAGUCCCUAACCACUUUGUGUGUGUUUUUAGGAUAUAGUCUGUGGCAUAAACGAUACAGGUGUUUUGAUUUGGCUACCAAGAAGGUCUAUGUCUCUAGACAUGUGGCCGUUGAAUGAGAAUCUUUUUCCUUUUCCGACUGCAGUCUCAAUUCCUUCAUCUACUUUACCAAUUGAUUUAGCUAUCAUUUCAUUUCCAGAAUUCUUUUUACCUACUACUUUACAAUCUCUAUCUAAUAUGCCAGAAAUACCUAUUCAUAUUCCUCAAGUAGCCAGAUUACCUUCAGCUCCAGACAUUGUUCAGCUACUCAAUGUACCAAUAGCUCCAUAUACUUACUGGUAGUGCCACUACCAUUGUCACUAGGUCUAGAUAUGGUACUAGAAAAGCUAAGGCCUUACUACAGUUUUUGUUCCUCAUUUUGCUUCUAGAUAUCCUGUUGAGCUAAAAACAGAUAAAACCGUUUCUAAGGAUCCUAAAUGGGUAGAGGCUAUGUCACAAGAAUUUCAGAAUGUACACACCAAUCAGAAAUGGAUGUUGGUUCCAAAUUCUUCUUCUAUAGAUGUACUUGGAUGUGGUGUACAAGGAAAAACUUAAAGCUGAUAGUUGAUGGGUUCAAGGCCAGCAGGUCAGUUGAGUUUUAGGAGAAGUCAUAUGGUUUUAGUUUGGAAAUGUCUGAGGUUUCUUGAAGAUUCAAUUGGUUGUGGAAUCAAACUGGCUGCUGGUGAUUUUGCUUUAUCUGGGUUUUCCAAUUCAGACUGAGCUGGAUGCUCUGACCCCAGAAAAUCCGCUGCUGGGUAUUGUGUAUUUUUGGGUCAUUCCUUAGUAGCUUGGAGGUCUAAAAGGUUGCCAACUGUUGCUAACUCUUCUUCAGAAGCAGAGUAUAAGGCCUUAGCUUUGCUUGCUUCAGAAGUACUAUGGAUUUCCUACUUGUUAGCUGAGUUGAACAUCAGUUAUUCAAAUUUUUUUCAGCUGUUCCGUGAUAACACCAGUUUUUCAUGCAAGUUCCCAACAUAUCGAGUUGGAUUAUCACUAUGUCGGGGAUUUGGUGGCUGCUGGUUAUGUUGAGAUCAGCAUCGUUCCUUCUCAUUUGCAGGUGGUGGCAUAUAUCGUUACUAAAGGACUUACUUCACCAGUCUUCAGUCCAAGCUUAUGCAUCCUACUUCUACUUAGCUUGAGGGGGAGUAUUAUUAACUGAAGAAUUUUCUUCUUUUGUGUUGUUUUAAAUUUGUCCAUUCAAUUGUGUUUUUGCUCAGUUUGUUAAGAGUCUGAGUCAACCAGAUGAUGUAUGACAAGUCUGUUGAAAUUGGUUGAAUGGUCAUCUGUUCUAUUCUUCUUUCUGUUAGUGACUUCUGUCUCUGUCUCCUGUCUCUUAUAAAAGCUAAACCGAGUCCUGUGUUUUCUUAUCCAUUUUCAUUUUAAUAAAAAUCCUGAACAAGUACUAU